UACGAACAUAUCACAUUGGAUCAAUUGUUCUCAUACGAUCAUCGAAGUUAAGCAACGUCGAGGAUGGUCAGUACCUAGAUGAGCGACUGCUUGGGAAUAUCAGGUGCUGUAA